UGCGCUAUGAGAUGAGCCUGCGUCGGAUUAGCUAGUUGGUGAGGUAACGGCUCACCAAGGCGACGAUCCGUAGCUGGUUUGAGAGAACGACCAGCCACACUGGGACUGAGACACGGUCCGGACUCCUACGGGAGGCAGCAGUGGGGAAUAUUGGACAAUGGGGGCAACCCUGAUCCAGCAAUGCCGCGUGUGUGAAGAAGGCCUUCGGGUUGUAAAGCACUUUCGGUGGGGACAAACAAGGCGGAGCUAACAUCUCCGUCCCUGAUGGUACCCAAAGAAGAAGCACCGGCUAACUCUGUGCCAGCAGCCGCGGUAAUACAGAGGGUGCAAGCGUUAAUCGGAAUUACUGGGCGUAAAGCGUGCGUAGGUGGUUUGUUAAGUCAGGUGUGAAAUCCUGGGGCUCAACCUGGGAAUUGCGCUUGAUACUGACUGACUCGAGUGUGGUAGAGGAUAGUGGAAUUCCCGGUGUAGCGGUGAAAUGCGUAGAUAUCGGGAGGAACAUCAGUGGCGAAGGCGGCUAUCUGGACUAACACUGACACUGAGGUACGAAAGCGUGGGUGGCAAACAGGAUUAGAU
rnacentral:rRNA from 1 species